rnacentral:rRNA from 1 species
UUCCGGUUGAUCCUGCCGGAGGCUACCGCUAUUGGAGUUCGAUUAAGCCAUGCGAGUCGCGAGUCUUAGGGACUCGGCGUACCGCUCAGUAACACGUGGGUAACCUGCCCUAUGCUGGGGGAUAACCUCGGGAAACUGAGAAUAAUACCCCAUAGUUCACCACGCCUGGAACGGUGGGUGGAUCAAAGCUCCGGCGGCAUAGGAUGGGCCUGCGGCGUAUCAGGUUGUAGGGGGUGUAAUGUACCCUCUAGCCCUCUACGCGUACGGGUGUUGAGAGACAUCGCCCGGAGAUGGAUUCUGAGACACGAAUCCAGACCCUACGGGGUGCAGCAGGCGCGAAAACUUGGCAAUGCGAGAAAUCGUGACCAGGGAACUCCAAGUGCAUCGGGUAAGACCGAUGCUUUUCUUGACUCUUCAAAGGUCUUGGAAUAAGGGGUGGGUAAGGACGGUGCCAGCCGCCGCGGUAAUACCGGCGCCCCAAGUGGUAGUCGCUUUUAUUGGGCCUAAAACGUCCGUAGCCGGUCUGGUACAUUCGUGGGUAAAUCAACCAGCUCAACUGGUUGAAUUCUGCGAGCACGGCCAGACUUGGGACCGGGAGAGGUGUGGGGUACUCUCAGGGUAGGGGUAAAAUCCUGUCAUCCUGAGAGGACCACCUGUUGCGAAGGCGCCACACUAGAACGGAUCCGACGGUCAGGGACGAAGCCUAGGGGCACGAACCGGAUUAGAUACCCGGGUAGUCCUAGGUGUAAACGCUGUGGACUUGGUGUUGGGGAUGAUCCGAUCAUUCUCAGUGCCGAAGCGAAGGUGAUAAGUCCACUGCCUGGGGAGUACGGUCGCAAGGCUGAAACUUAAAGGAAUUGGCGGGGGAGCACCGCAACCUGAGGAUUGUGCGGUUUAAUUGGAUUCAACGCCGG